GGCAGCAUCUCAACAGUGUGACUAGCUGUUGGACAAUGGCAGGGAGUUGGUGUGUUGCUCAGACUCUGGCACUUUGUGUUUGGUUCUGUGCUUUCUGUCAUGCUGUUCCAAAGUGGAGUAAUCUGCACCAAAGUCCUCAAGCUCUGAUGUUCCAGCAAACUGACCCGAGGUUUCAACAGCAAGCUAGUCAGCAGUUUCCUCAGUCAGUUCAAGCUAGUCAACAGUUCCCUCUGUCAGUUCAACGGCAAGCUAGUCAACAGUUUUCUAAGCCAGUUCAACAGCAAACUAGUCAGCGGUUUCUUCAGUCUGUUCAACAGCAAGCUAGUCAACAGUUUCCUCAGCAGUUUCCUCAGUCAGUUCAAUGGCAAGCUAAUCAACAGUAUCCUAAGCCAGUUCAACAGCAAGCUAGUCAACAGUUUUCUAAGCCAGUUCAACAGCAAGCUAGUCAACAGUUUUCUAAGCCAGUUCAACAGCAAGCUAGUCAACAAUUUUCUAAGCCAGUUCAACAGCAAGCUAGUCAACAGUUCCCUCAGUCUGUUCAACAGCAAGCUAGUCAACAGUUCCCUCAGUCUGUUCAACAGCAAGCUAGUCAACAGUUCCCUCAGUCUGUUCAACAGCAAGCUAGUCAACAGUUCCUCAGUCUGUUCAACACUAGUCAACAGUUCUCAGUCUGUUCAACAGUAGUCAACAGUUUCCUCAGUCAGUUCAAGCUAGUCAACCGUUUCCUCAGCAGUUUCAGCCGAAACAGCCAGUGGGAAAGGCAGAGCCCGUUGACAAAUGUGCUAUUGCUGAUUAUGAGCAGAUCCAGUGUGGACCACCUGGUAUCAGUGGUGCUGAGUGUGCAGCUAUUAACUGCUGCUUUAACGGACAGCAGUGUUACUAUGGGAAGGCUGUGACUGUCCAGUGUAUAAGAGAUGGUCAGUUUGUGGUCGUGGUGGCUAGAGAUGUCACGCUGCCUCGUUUGAGCCUGGAUUCAGUCCGUCUCCUGGGUGGAGAUGAUCCAGCUUGCAGUCCUGUGGGAUCCACACCUUUCUUUGCUAUAUACCAGUUCCCUGUCACUGCGUGCGGCACGAGCAUGAUGGAGGACAGUGGAUAUGUGGUGUAUGAAAACAGAAUGACCUCCUCGUAUGAAGUGGGUAUCGGACCACUUGGUUCCAUCACAAGGGACAGCCAUUUUGAGCUUCUCUUCCAGUGUCGGUACUCUGGUACUUCUGUGGAAGCUCUGGUUGUGGAGGUCAACACUGUUCCUCCACCUCCACCAGUAGCUGCUCCUGGACCCCUCAGGGUGGAGCUUAGGCUAGCAAAUGGUCAGUGUGUCACCAAAGGCUGUGCAGAAGGGGACGAGGCGUACACUUCCUACUACAGUGAUGCUGAUUAUCCUGUUACAAAAGUCCUGCGGGAGCCUGUGUAUGUUGAGGUGCACGUUAUGGAGAGGACCGACCCCAACAUUGUCCUGAUGCUGGGACAUUGCUGGGCGACGUCAACCCCCAGUCCACUCAGUCUACCCCAGUGGGACCUUCUGGUUGAUGGAUGCCCUUACCAGGAUGAUCGUUACCUGACCACAUUGGUUCCAGUGACUGGAUCGUCUGGUCUUCAGUUCCCAACCCACUACAAGCGCUUUAUUGUGAAGAUGUUCACAUUUGUUGAUCCAUCGUCACUGGCUCCUCUGCAGGAAACCAUCUUCAUCCACUGUAGUACAGCAGUGUGCCAUCCCUCUUCUGGCUCCUGUGAGCAAAGCUGCACUAGGAAAAGAAGGGACACUCCCAUCAAGACCAUCUCUAGUGGGCAAACUGUGGUGUCUAGUGGAGAAGUUAACCUGGUCAUGUCAAUUUAGAUUUAAUAAAUUGGUGUUGAUGUUCAAUGA